AGAGUUUGAUCCUGGCUCAGAACGAACGCUGGCGGCGCGCCUAAUACAUGCAAGUCGAGCGAGAAGGUGUAGCAAUACACUUGUAAAGCGGCGAACGGGUGAGGAAUGCAUGGGUAACCUACCCUCGAGUGGGGAAUAACUAGCCGAAAGGUUAGCUAAUACCGCAUACGUUUCCGGAACUUCGGUUCCGGAAAGAAAGCAAUACCGUGGGUAUUGCGCUCAUGGAUGGGCUCAUGUCCUAUCAGCUUGUUGGUGAGGUAAUGGCUCACCAAGGCUUCGACGGGUAGCUGGUCUGAGAGGACGAUCAGCCACACUGGCACUGCGACACGGGCCAGACUCCUACGGGAGGCAGCAGUAAGGAAUAUUGCGCAAUGGACGAAAGUCUGACGCAGCGACGCCGCGUGGGGGAUGAAGGUCUUCGGAUUGUAAACCCCUUUCGGGAGGGAAGAUGGAGUGGGUAACCACUUGGACGGUACCUCCAGAAGCAGCCACGGCUAACUUCGUGCCAGCAGCCGCGGUAAUACGAAGGUGGCAAGCGUUGUUCGGAUUCACUGGGCGUACAGGGAGCGUAGGCGGUUGGGUAAGCCCUCCGUGAAAUCUCCGGGCCUAACCCGGAAAGUGCAGAGGGGACUGCUCAGCUAGAGGAUGGGAGAGGAGCGCGGAAUUCCCGGUGUAGCGGUGAAAUGCGUAGAGAUCGGGGGGAAGCCGGUGGCGAAGCGGCGCUCUGGAACAUUUCUGAGCUAGCUCGAAAGCGUGGGGAGCAAACAGGAUAGAUACCCUGGUAGUC
rnacentral:rRNA from 1 species